AAUAUUGCACAAUGGGGGAAACCCUGAUGCAGCAACGCCGCGUGAGCGAUGAAGGCCUUCGGGUCGUAAAGCUCUGUCCUAAGGGAAGAUAAUGACGGUACCUUAGGAGGAAGCCCCGGCUAACUACGUGCCAGCAGCCGCGGUAAUACGUAGGGGGCAAGCGUUAUCCGGAAUCAUUGGGCGUAAAGGGUGCGUAGGCUGGCCUAUAGGUCAGAGGUCAAAGGCUACGGCUCAACCGUAGUAAGCCUUUGAAACUGUAGGGCUUGAGUGCAGGAGAGGGGAGUGGAAUUCCUAGUGUGGCGGUGGAAUGCGUAGAUAUUAGGAGGGAAACCAGUGGCGAAGGCGACUCUCUGGACUGCAACUGACGCUGGGGCACGAAAGCGUGGGUAGCGAACA
rnacentral:rRNA from 1 species